rnacentral:lncRNA from 1 species
UUUUGAUGCUCAUAUGUGCUCAUGAAUUAUAGAAAUCAACAGGAGCUUAAGGGCGUCGAUUCAGGGAUACAGACCAAAAAAGCAGACCAAACGGUACAUUAAGCAACAUUACAAAUUGAUUGUAAAAAGCAACGAUACAUCCACAUAUAUCGGGAUACUGGCCAAAAAGCAAGUUAAACAAUUUACACUACUUGAACACACCAUAUUGAUUGUGAAAAUGCAGUCCAAGCCAUACAAAUUCCAUUCUAAUAUAUAACUGAAAAAGAAAGGAUUUUCAAACCAUGUAUGUACAGUUGUACACUACUGCAACAGUACAGUACUCCAGUUCAUACAAAUACUGCAACACUCGUCUUGUGGAAAAAAUUACCAUGGGCAUAUCCUUAGAGGAAUAGGGGAUAUCAACAGCUCGGGAAUUGAUUCUGGUGGAGAAGCACAUGAGUUUGCUGCUGAGGAGCUGUAUGGUGAUGUCCGAGAAGAACAGCCGACCGACAGAGACUCGGAUAGACGGAGCAGUUGUUCAAUCAGAGGGCUGUUGGCAGCCAACCUAGGUGUGGCCGAGUGGACGUGAGAUACAGUUCGAGUCCUUCACCACGUAAAUCUUCGGCAGAGGUUCCUUGAGGUCUGUCUGCACAAACACAAAUCAGCCUGAACAAUCCCUUUGUUGUCUUGAGCAGGAAAAGCAAAAACAAUAGCCAUGUCAAUUUUUCAAAGUUGAUUUCACACCCGGUGCAAAAGCAUGGAGAUUCCUUGUGGUUAACUCGUGCUUCGAAGAAAAAAUUGUCCCUGUUGCGUUCUCUUUUCGAAAGGUAACAACUUGGAACAAUACUAAACACAUCUUUUCACAUGCUAAAUGCAUUUAGGGCCUCUCACAUCCAAUGCUGCAUGAAUCUCCUGCCUGAUCAUGUCCAUCUAACUGAAGUUUGAUUUUACCCUGAAAUAUAUGUGCACGGUGAGGACUGCACUAACUUUGUCGCCCCUGCUGCAAUCAAAUUUGUCAAUAUUCAUAGACCAUAUUCCACAAAUACUCUGACUUUCUAAUGAGAAUUAGAAUUUAGGGGCCAAAUACUUUCAGAUUUGGGGAGAAAGUUAUAGAUAAAUGUGUUGCCGUGAAGCCUGAUGCCCUUUGUCUUGAAGCUCAUGUACUACAAAAAAUAUAUCAGUUCAGUGUUGUUCUAAUCUAGACCGUGAAUCAUGUUGCUCCCUGCUGUUUUCUCGAGCAGGGACUUGUCCUUGUCGUCAGCCUAUGGCUCUGGAAGGGAGAGAGGGAAGGAGGUCUCACCAUUAUAUGAGUAGGAGGGUGCUGGAAUCCAUCUUGCGCAGUUCUCCUCCUCCAAGUGCAGGUCGCCCUGCCGCCGGCCGGUCACCGGAGGCGCCACCGCCAGCGACCGUCUCCGUCACCUUGCGCCCAU